rnacentral:rRNA from 1 species
UACUAGAGUAGCACUCGCAUAUCAAUAAGCGGAGGAAAAGAAACUAACAAGGAUUCCCCUAGUAACGGCGAGUGAAGCGGGAAGAGCUCAAAUUUGAAAUCUUAAAGGGUUUCCCUUUACGAAUUGUAGUUUAAAGAAGUGUUUUCUGUUGAGGUUUUGGUAAAAGUUCUUUGGAAUAGGACAUCAUAGAGGGUGAGAAUCCCGUAUUUGACCUUUACUUUCAACUUUGUGAUACACUUUCGAAGAGUCGGAUUGUUUGGGAAUGCAGUCCAAAAUGGGUGGUAAGUUUCAUCUAAAGCUAAAUAUUGGCGAGAGACCGAUAGCGAACAAGUACCGUGAGGGAAAGAUGAAAAGAACUUUGAAAAGAGAGUUAAACAGUACGUGAAAUUGUCAAAAGGGAAGCGUUUGACACCAGUGUUGUUUUUCUGAAAAUCAAUUAAAGAACUGUUUAUGCUAAGCUUGUUUAGACUUUAUCAGCUAACUGUUUAGUUUUGAGCUUUUCUUUAAUGCACUUUUCAGUUAACAAGUCAACAUCAAUUUCUUUUGCUGUAAAAAAGCUUGAGGAAGGUGGCUUGAGAUUCGUCUUAAGUGUUUAUAGCCUCUUGCCUAUGCAGUCGGAGAGAUUGAGGUCUGCAGCGUAGAUCCUUCGGGGCUAAAUGCAUUUGUGCUAAGUUAUAGCGUUUUAUAGACAACUUGUUGACUAUGAUUUGUCUUGUGGCUUACUCGCUUAUGUUAUUUUACCUACGCUUAGGAUGUUGAACUCUAUCACACACAG